GUUUGCCAAACCACGAUUUGGUGGCUCACUGAGCUCAGCAGUGAAGGCAAACCUCAGUGUUGCCCGAAAACCCACUCAGCUUCUUUCCAGCACAGUCACUGCCUCGUCUGACAGUGUGAAUAUGGCCACUCUGACUAUCCCUGCAUCCACAUCACCAGUAAUGAGGACCAUCUCCCCUCUCUCUCUCCCUCCUCCCUCCUUCCUCUGUGACCAUCACCAAGCGUCCCAGCACUGACAUUUCCCCAAGUCCUCCUGUCUCUCAGUGCCUUUGCCUCCAUUCAGUAAUCCACCUACAACCAGUCAACACUGGUUGCCGGAAAAACUUAAAAAAACUCUUCCUGUCCAAGAUCAGCAGUGGAUUGCUGCUGCAUUAUGGAGGAACCAGCACCUCCGUGACGACCUCAGUUUGUGGUAUGAACCACCAAAUCCAUCUUUAAUCUCCCACCAGGUCCCCACUCCAGAGCACUUUUUCUGCCACCGGCUUCUUUUGUGGAUGCCAUACCACCUCUGGAGGGUUAGAGUGUUCUGCCCCAGAUGCAGUGGGCACCUCACAGGAGGGGGUGUUCACAAAAGAGCACGUCAGGUGUUGGACAUUGACAGGAACUACAUAAUGAUCACAGAGACAUUGAGGUGCAGUAACGCUGGAUGCAAGGCAUCCUACCUGUCAUCUACCAGUGCUGGACUGGAUCAGCUGGACCUUCCUCAUCGGUCGGAGUUCAGGAUCAUAAUGACACGCAAGUGAGCUGCUGUCAUCACAUUUGAUCUAUGCACAUAUUUGAUUUAUCCCAAAUUCUUUUCAAAUUCUAUUCACACACAAAUUUUGUGUCAUCACUAAUCUGCUGUAGGAAGAUUUUACUGGAUAUUAGUCAUAGUGGAUAUUAGUCAAACACAUAUGCAGGUACACUGUUGCCCCUCUUGCCCCAGCAGUACCUCCCCCUCCUGCCAGUGCUCAACCUGCCUCAAAGGCUAAAUUCAACAAAAGGAAGGUUGAGUUUAAUACGUGAAAAUGUGGACAAUUUAGGACUGCUGAGGCUGGGCACAGCCAGUAUCGUGGCAUUAUCUACUGCCCAAAUACAGAAACGGUCACGAAAGAGGUCUGGUUGGAACAGAUCAAAAAGUCCUGAAGACAUGAAGUGUAAAUAUUACAAUGCAUGUAAAUAAGUUGACGUUGUAGUGUGAGUGUGUAUAGUUCUUUUAAAGAUUUCUACUGUUUUCUGUUUCAAGCUAUUUUUUAAAUUAGUAUUUUCAUACUACAAUAAGUAUAUAAUUUUGUUUUGUAAAUAUCUAAUACCAAGCAUGUAAAUAAGUUGUGAUGUUGUACUAUGUGUCGAUGUAGUGUUUUAAGGAUUUUUAAGGAG